CGAUGAAGCCCUUCGGGGUGGAUUAGUGGCGAACGGGUGAGUAACACGUGGGCAAUCUGCCCUGCACUCUGGGACAAGCCCUGGAAACGGGGUCUAAUACCGGAUACGACCACUGAGGGCAUCCUCGGUGGUGGAAAGCUCCGGCGGUGCAGGAUGAGCCCGCGGCCUAUCAGCUUGUUGGUGGGGUGAUGGCCUACCAAGGCGACGACGGGUAGCCGGCCUGAGAGGGCGACCGGCCACACUGGGACUGAGACACGGCCCAGACUCCUACGGGAGGCAGCAGUGGGGAAUAUUGCACAAUGGGCGCAAGCCUGAUGCAGCGACGCCGCGUGAGGGAUGACGGCCUUCGGGUUGUAAACCUCUUUCAGCAGGGAAGAAGCGAAAGUGACGGUACCUGCAGAAGAAGCGCCGGCUAACUACGUGCCAGCAGCCGCGGUAAUACGUAGGGCGCAAGCGUUGUCCGGAAUUAUUGGGCGUAAAGAGCUCGUAGGCGGCUUGUCGCGUCGGAUGUGAAAGCCCGGGGCUUAACCCCGGGUCUGCAUUCGAUACGGGCAGGCUAGAGUUCGGUAGGGGAGAUCGGAAUUCCUGGUGUAGCGGUGAAAUGCGCAGAUAUCAGGAGGAACACCGGUGGCGAAGGCGGAUCUCUGGGCCGAUACUGACGCUGAGGAGCGAAAGCGUGGGGAGCGAACAGGAUUAGAUACCCUGGUAGUCCACGCCGUAAACGUUGGGCACUAGGUGUGGGCAACAUUCCACGUUGUCCGUGCCGCAGCUAACGCAUUAAGUGCCCCGCC
rnacentral:rRNA from 1 species